rnacentral:misc_RNA from 1 species
GAUGAAGAACGUAGCGAAAUGCGAUAAGUAAUGUGAAUUGCAGAAUUCAGUGAAUCAUCGAAUCUUUGAACGCACAUUGCGCCCGUCAGUAUUCUGGCGGGCAUGCCUGUUCGAGCGUCAUUUCGCCCCUCAAGUCCCCUGUGGACUUGGUGUUGGGGAUCGGCGAGGCUGGUUUUCCAGCACAGCCGUCCCUUAAAUUAAUUGGCGGUCUCGCCGUGGCCCUCCUCUGCGCAGUAGUAAAACACUCGCAACAGGAGCCCGGCGCGGUCCACUGCCGUAAAACCCCCCAACUUUUUAUAGUUGACCUCGAAUCAGGUAGGACUACCCGCUGAACUUAAGCAUAUCAAUAACGGAGGA